rnacentral:rRNA from 1 species
GAUAAACGCUGGCGGCGUGCCUAAUACAUGCAAGUCGAACGAGGAGUUCUUGUAGCAAUACGGGGACUUCCUAGUGGCGAAUGGGUGAGUAACGCGUUGGUGACCUGCCCCGAAGUGUGGGAUAACAGUUCGAAAGGACUGCUAAUACCGCAUGUGGACACGAGGGUUAGAGGCUUUGUGUCUAAAGCAGUAAUGCGCUUUGGGAGGGACCUGCGUCCCAUCAGUUAGUUGGUAGGGUAAUGGCCUACCAAGACUUCGACGGGUAGGGGACCUGAGAGGGUGGUCCCCCACACUGGCACUGAAACACGGGCCAGACACCUACGGGAGGCAG